UAAGUGUUUUCUAUAUUUUGGCAUACUGUACAGUUACGAUAAUUGGAGACAAAAAACGUCUUCUCGAAGAUCUUUCCCCUGAUGUUGAUACCAGACUUCACGUAAUUGAAGUAAAAUUGCAAAGUCUAACUUCACAAAUUACAGAAAAAGAUUUGUACAUUACGCAGUUGCAGAGUACUGUAUUGAAACUACAGAGUACUGUCAAUCAACUUGAACGUGACAGAAACAACCAAUCAGCACAAAUUCAAGCAGUGCAAAAAAUAGUAAAUACGAUGAAUCCGGG